rnacentral:rRNA from 1 species
CAAAGGUAGCGUAAUCACUUGUCUUAUAAAUAAAGACCCGUAUGAAUGGUUAAAUGAAUAUUUAACUGUCUCCUUUAACUAAUCAGUGAAACUGAUCUUUCAGUACAAAAGCUGAAAUAUCAACAUAAGACGAGAAGACCCCGUGGAGCUUAAAAUUUUUAACAAAAUAUUGUAAAGCACAUAUUUAUGCCAAAAAAUUUUUAGUUGGGGCGACUUUGGAGAAAAACUUAACCUCCAAGAUAAAGGCAUUGCCUACACAAGGCCUACAAGCCAGACUACAGAGACCCAGUAUCAAAUACUGAUCAACGAACCAAGUUACCCCAGGGAUAACAGCGCCAUCUUCUUCAAGAGUUCAUAUCGACAAGAAGGUUUACGACCUCGAUGUUGGAUCAGGACACCCAAAUGGUGCAGCCGCUAUUAAAGGUUCGUUUGUUCAACGAUUAACAGU